rnacentral:lncRNA from 1 species
GGCCUCCUCAGCGAUGUGCUUGGCCUCCUUCAGCUGCAUUUCCUGAAUUUCCAUUUUUUCUUCAUCUUUCAUUGCUCUGUUCUCAAUGACUUUCAUUCCUCUCUCACUCUCAUCCGCCGCUUUUUCGGCCUCUUCCAGCUUCUGCAGGGCUGUGGCCAGCCGCUCCUGGGCCCGAUCCAGCUCCUCUUCCACCAGCUGGAUGCGUCUGUUGAGCGCCGCCACCUCACCUUCUGCUGGGUUUACACACACGGCAUGGCUCACGCAGCACUGGCAUCUGGUCUGCAGCAUAGCCGCUUCUCGCUCCGGCCGGGCCGCUCUCACUGCCCGCGAUCCCAGAGCCGCGCAGCGGACCCGCGGGAGCCGCCCGGCCCCACCUCUGCCGCAGCCCGCGCUCCUUAUACGGUAAAACUAACUCGCUGACAUGCGAUAAAACAGCAGGAAGAUGCCGGGCAGGCCGAUCGCACACAGACCUAAGUGAAACCAGCUGUCCGGCCCCGGGAGAGCGGCACGCUGCUGGAGAGCUCCCAUUUCUCUGGGAAAACCGGGAGGGAAAAGUUAUUUUCCAGCAGUUCGGACAUUUCCCAGCUGUGCCUGAGCCAGCGGCGCGGCGCCGGGGCGGGACCUCCGCGCCCGUUGUCAUGCAGCGCUUUUUCCCAGCGAGCAGCCGCCCCGCCCGCAGCCCGAGCCCGGCGCGGUGCCCGCGGUGGAGAGCGGAGCGCGGCGAGGUGCGGGGCGCACCGGGCACAGCCAGAGAGAGAGCCAGAGACAGGAAGGAAGGAGCGGGGCAGCCCGGAGAGAGCGACCGAGAGAGGCGAGCGGGCAGCCGGCGGUCUCACUUUCUCCCGCAGGUCCCGUUCCAGGUCCAGCUCCCGCUGCAGGACCUGGGCGCGAUCCUCCGCCUCGUCCGCCUGCUGCUGCAGGCAUUGGAUCUUCCUCUUCACCGCUUCCAGGGAGCUCGGCGCGGCCAUGGGCGCGGCGGGCAGGGCGCGCGGUGCUGCACGUGGCGGCGCGCGGCCCCGCGCCUUUCAAUGGGCCGAUGACGUCACGCGGCGGGAGGUGGGGUGGUGACGUCAGCAGAGGAGCGGCGCGCGGGAGCUCCGGCACAGCCGCACCCCGGGAGCUCCGGCCGCCCGAGGACGCCGAAGGCGCCGCGGCGAUCCUCGGCCCGGGGACGGCCGCUCCGUGCCACGUCUGAGCCCGUGCUGGCGCGGGAGGAGCGGAACCGGGCCCGGCAGCUACGGGGCGCGGGGAGCGGAGCGUGGCGGUGCGGUGCAGCCCUGCGCCGAGCGGAGCCGUGCGCCAAGCGGGGCCCCGGGAACAUCGCCGCAGCGUUCGCUUAUAGAGAACGUUUCGCGUCUGCUGAAGAACUCCGUCCCUCCCACGGCCGUCUCUCCCCGCUCAGCCCCUCCGCCCCGUGCAGUGCCGUGUGCCGCUGCGGCAGCGCGGGGUGCAGAGCGGGCAGCACAGCGGGCAGCGGACGGACAUACCUGAAACGUAGCACUGCUUUCCCAUCCCCUGACCGAGGUACUGCAACAAACAACGCUCAGUGAUUCACCCCAGCCCCGUACCACACACACACAGCAGAGCCGAGCACAGCCGGCUGCGGGUACAUACAUCCGUGGCCUUCUUUUCAGCCUGCUCCAGCUUUUCCUGGGCAUCUUUCAGAGCCUCAGAGUAUUUAUCCAGCUCAUCUUCAGUUCCUUUCAACUUCUUCUGCAGAGCUACCAGCUCAUCCUCGACCUUUCAAGAGAAAAGAAAGGGAUUUGGACAUGCUGCCACUGAGACGUGGCUAAAACUUCUCCCCAUUAGCUUUCAUAUAACGGAGCCGCAGCACACCCAGGGCCUGCAGUGUCUGCCUGGCAGCGGAUCCCAGGGAGGAUGAUUAAAACCAUGCUGUCCGUACGGCAGCAUCCGCUGCCACUGAGCACAGGAUGUGGCUCAAUACAGAACUUGGCAUCGUCCCCUUUACACCUCAUUUCUGUUUUGGACUCCACAACAUCCUGCAAAGUUCUGCAGCGUAUUGUACAGUGUUUUAAAAUUACAUCCUUGUGCUCAUUGUGACAGAACUACUCAUGGCCUGUUAGGAAACUCUGAUUGUGGUACAGUUAUAAGAAAGGAGGGGCGGCCAUUCCUGCUGCAGCUCUGCACAUCACAGCCACAACGCGCUGCACUGCCCACUGCUGUGUGCAGGGGGCGUCGGACGGCCCCCAAACACCCCAACCUCCACCAUUCCUGUUCCAACCCGGCCAGCAAGGUGCCCUCCGUCCCACACCAUAUAAAUCCAUACUGUGCACUACACCGAACUAUUUAUAACCUGCAGGGAGAACGGUUAAUGACAAAGUGCCUCACGCUCCCCAGGAAUUUGCAUUAUCAGGAGCUGCUGCUGAUAAGGGUGCGCCUGCAGCCCAUCUGCUCCCGCCUUCCAUUUGCAAUACAAAGCAGUUCAGUCCGUAGAGAAAACUGAUUUAACCAUUUGACUCUGCUUUCACCUAAAUUUAGACUGUCAAAACAGUUCACUCAAAACAGUUUAUGUUUCAGUAUGUGUAUGUUCUUCACUCUAGCAUCAAGAACAGCUUUACCAGCAUUCCUGGCAGCAAGCUGUUCUUCAACACCAUUACACUGCUGUACUUUUAUUCAGAGUAACCACAGCGUGAGAGGACUGAACACGCUCCCCUGGAUGCUUCAGCAGGGAACAGCAGGCAGGAGAAGUGGUGCUUCCUUCGUGUAUGACAUUAAAAUCCUUACCACGGUGUGUGUGUCUGUAUUAAAAAUCUAAUAAAAGAGGUGAAAAAUUGGGGACAAUUCAGAAAAGAGAAGAAAGAUCAAAGCCUUAUUUUCUCUUUGUUGCUUUUUAUUGCAGACUACCCUCAUACUUAACAGUUCCCGAAGACAUGCUGUUCAGUCUGUAGGAAGUCACCUUUGCUAACUACAUGCAAAGGAGGGCUGAGCAUUCUAUCACCACUAACGGCUCUGAGUAACCAUCUGCUGGGGCUGUUAUGAGUGCAGUAAGGGGAUCAGUGUGGCCCAGCAGAACCACAUCUGAGCAGCACCUCUCAGGCUAUGGAAGAAACAGCAACCGCGUUCACGUGGUGCUGCGUGGAGCCUGGAGCAGCUCUGAGUGCAACAAAGAGAUGAGGCGCUUUCUGUGAGCUGGGGUGGAGCGGGAAGGUGGCAGCAGCUGAUCCUUUUGGAAACUUUUUUUUUUUUUUUUUUGCGGUGCUUCAGCUGCACGGUUGGCCAAUUAAAAAUGUAAUUAUAUCACCCAAAGAUCUCAGAUUGGACAGAAGAAACACUUGGCCAAAUAAUAAUGCACAUGGCAAUCUGGAAGAGGUAGCAGAAAGAAACACAUUUAGAGAAUAUAAAAAGAUAUGAGCAUUUUUUUUUAUAAGCUCUGUAACAAAUUGGAACGUGGUGAGAAAACAUUUAAAGAUCAUUCUGAAAGUGUUACAGCUCAGAGUUGAGGUAGGCACCCAGAAUAAAGAACAAUGAAAAACAAUAGAAUACGCAAAUGCUAUCUGUAUAAUUCAAUUAAAAUUAGCGCUUUCAAAUUAAGAUAUUUCUGAUCAUUGCUGACAAAUCAGUAACACAGCACACCUACUGGCGAGUCGCAGCAGGCACCUCCAAGGGCACUGCAGGACCACAGACAAGUCAGCAGAACUUCAUUAAUUCACUUCAAGGAGAGGCUCAAUUAAUGUCAGCCACAGCUGACUUCAGACAGCAUUAACUCUGUUCCUACAGGUGUUCAAUCUACAGCUUUGAUUUUAAGUUUUUAAUGUCUUUUCAGUGGAAUCACGAGCAAAAGAAAAUUAAAGCAAUUAUGUAUGAUUUAAGAAAACUGAGACAAAAUAGUCUUAAAAAUCUGUAGCUAGUGCUAGUUUUGCAAAGACGGAAGAAAAGAUUAUUAAUACCUAG